rnacentral:lncRNA from 1 species
AAGCACCGAGCUGUAAAUCGCUUGAGACCUGUAUUUGGUUGUUUUGUUGGUUUUGCCAAGUAAGGUCACUUGAGGAUUUCUUGGCUCGAGGUCCCAGGUUGCGCAGACUCUGACUGCAUCGAGUUGAGAAUUUUGGUCAGAAUGUUAAAGUGGAAACCUACCCCAGGCUGUCAUGGUCAGUGUUUUAGAGAACUUCUUGGGUUGGGGUGUGGAGCUGGGCGGUCCAGGAUGUUCUGUCAUCAGAGACUGGCGGGUUCUGGGGAACUUGGUGCCAUGGAACACAGUAGGGACGUUCUGCUUCUCAUCAAGAACAUGAAGACAUUAAGAGGUGGAAUUGUAAUGGGGAAAAAGACUUUUGCAUUCUGGUAACCAACUGAUCCUACCCGGACCCAUGAUGCAUAACUCAGCUGGUCCUGUGGCGCACACCCAGAGGCCGACUCAAUGCAUGAAGACUGUUUUCCACACCCCUAUGAUUUCAUCCCCAACCAAGCAGCAGCAUCCAUU